rnacentral:rRNA from 1 species
AUUGAACGCUGGCGGCAUGCCUUACACAUGCGAGUCGAACGGUAACAGGUCUUCGGAUGCUGACGAGUGGCGAACGGGUGAGUAAUACAUCGGAACGUGCCUAGUAGUGGGGGAUAACUACUCGAAAGAGUGGCUAAUACCGCAUGAGAUCUACGGAUGAAAGCAGGGGAUCGCAAGACCUUGUGCUACUAGAGCGGCCGAAGGCAGAUUAGGUAGUUGGUGGGAUAAAAGCUUACCAAGCCGACGAUCUGUAGCUGGCCUGAGAGGACGAUCAGCCACACUGGGACUGAGACACGGCCCAGACUCCUCCGGGAGGCAGCAGUGGGGAAUUUUGGACAAUGGGCGAAAGCCUGAUCCAGCAAUGCCGCGUGCAGGAUGAAGGCCUUCGGGUUGUAAACUGCUUUUGUACGGAACGAAAAGCCCCGGGUUAAUACCCUGGGGUCAUGACGGUACCGUAAGAAUAAGCACCGGCUAACUACGUGCCAGCCGCCGCAGUAA